rnacentral:tRNA from 1 species
AAUCUUGAAGUAUAUUAAUACGUUGAAUUGCAAAUUCAAAAAAGUAGUUAGUAAAGCUACCGAGGUUU